rnacentral:rRNA from 1 species
AGUGAACGCUGGCGGUAGGCCUAACACAUGCAAGUCGAACGGCAGCACAGUAAGAGCUUGCUCUUACGGGUGGCGAGUGGCGGACGGGUGAGGAAUACAUCGGAAUCUACUUUUUCGUGGGGGAUAACGUAGGGAAACUUACGCUAAUACCGCAUACGACCUACGGGUGAAAGCAGGGGAUCUUCGGACCUUGCGCGAUUGAAUGAGCCGAUGUCGGAUUAGCUAGUUGGCGGGGUAAAGGCCCACCAAGGCGACGAUCCGUAGCUGGUCUGAGAGGAUGAUCAGCCACACUGGAACUGAGACACGGUCCAGACUCCUACGGGAGGCAGCAGUGGGGAAUAUUGGACAAUGGGCGCAAGCCUGAUCCAGCCAUACCGCGUGGGUGAAGAAGGCCUCCGGGUUGUAAAGCCCUUUUGUUGGGAAAGAAAGGCAGCAGGUUAAUACCCCGCUGUCCUGACGGUACCCAAAGAAUAAGCACCGGCUAACUUCGUG